GUGCUCGCUUCGGCAGCACAUAUACUAAAAUUGGAACUAUACAGAGAAGAUUAGCAUGGCCCCUGUGCAAGGAUGACACACAAAUUCAUGAAAAAAAAAUAAAAUAA
rnacentral:snRNA from 1 species